UGCAUGGCCGUCGUCAGUUCGUACUGUGAAGCAUCCUGUUAAGUCAGGCAACGAGCGAGACCCACGCCAACAGUUGCCAGCAUGUCCUCCGGGAUGAUGGGGACACUGUUGGGACCGCCUCUGCUAAAGAGGAGGAAGGAAUGGGGCAACGGUAGGUCAGCAUGCCCCGAAUUAUCCGGGCUACACGCGGGCUACAAUGGUCAGGACAAUGGGUAUCGACACCGAGAGGUGGAGGCAAUCUCCUAAACCUGUCCUUAGUUCGGAUUGUGGGCUGCAACUCGCCCACAUGAAGCUGGAAUCCGUAGUAAUCGCGUUUCAACAUGGCGCGGUGAAUAUGUCCCUGCUCCUU
rnacentral:rRNA from 1 species